CCUACGGGGGGCAGCAGUGAGGAAUGUUGGUCAAUGGCCGAGAGGCUGAACCAGCCAAGUCGCGUGAGGGAAGACGGCCCUACGGGUUGUAAACCUCUUUUGUCGGGGAGCAAAGCGAGUCACGUGUGACUCAUUGAGAGUACCCGAAGAAAAAGCAUCGGCUAACUCCGUGCCAGCAGCCGCGGUACUACGGGGGAUGCGAGCGUUAUCCGGAUUUAUUGGGUUUAAAGGGUGCGCAGGCGGAGGUGCAAGUCAGCGGUAAAAUUGCGGUGCUCAACCCCGUACUGCCGUUGAAACUGCAUCCCUUGAGUGCGCGAGAAGUAUGCGGAAUGCGUAGUGUAGCGGUGAAAUGCAUAGAUAUCACUCAGAACUCCGAUUGCGAAGGCAGCAUACCGGCGCGCAACUGACGCUCAUGCACGAAAGCGUGGGUAUCGAACAGGAUUAGAUACCCGAGUAGUC
rnacentral:rRNA from 1 species